rnacentral:lncRNA from 1 species
GAAAGANNNNNNNNNNNNNNUAUGGAGAAGUAAAACAGUUAAUGUGCUAGGGUUGUAAAUAGUAGCUUAGUUUUUCUUUAAGAAACCCUUUUGGGGGAGGGCAGUACUGAGGAUUGAACCCCAGGGCAUGAAUCAUACAUGCCUAGCAAAUGCUCUACCACUGAACUGCAUUCCUAGUUUAAAAAACUCUUUUAUUGUUGUUAAAGAUUGUGCCAGAGCUGGGCUUGGUGGCACACACCUGUAAUCUCAACACUCUGGAAGGCUGAGGCAGGAGGAUUUGAGUUUAAGGGCAGCCUGGGGAACUUAGUGAGAUCUUGUCACACACCCAAAAAGAUGUGGCUGAAUGCCUACACAUACACAUUCAAAGCCCUUGCAAGAGUAUCUUACUGUCCAUGGUAUGUGGGACCUGGGUAAGUUCUUUCAAAAAUAAAAGUAAUCAAACACCAGAAAUCACUGGAAAUCUGAAGGUUGUGAUCAUUUAGAGAAGAAAUUGAAACCAAGACUUUCAUUCUUUAACCAUUCUGCUAAGAGCACCAAGCUUUGAUGCGUCUUUCAGACUGGUGCUGUCAUCUCUGAACAUUCUUGAAAUUGCUUUGUUUCCAGGUUCAGUUUCAGAAGCUUCAGCAACUGCGACUCACACAGUACCACGGAGGCUCCUUACCAAAUGUGAGCCAGCUUCGGAGCAGUGCCUCAGAGUUUCAGGGAUUGAACUCUGGUCCUUGCACUUGCCCAGCAGGCGGCGAAACCACUGAG